UAAAGUUUAUAGAAUUAGGUAGUAAAGAAAUUUCUGAAACCUAAAGAAUUUGGCGGUAUUUAAAAUAAUUGGAGGAACCUGUUAUUUAAUUGACAAUCCACAACAUAUCUUUCCUAAAUUUUAUUUGUAUAUCGUCGUUUUGAUAAUAUUUAAAAAUUAUAAUCAAUAUUAAUAAAUUUUUAAAAAUCAGAUCAAGGUGCAGUAUAUUUAGGUUAUAAUGGGUUACAAUAUAUUUAUAUAUGAAAUGGAUAUUAAAUUAAAAUCAUAUUGAAAGUGGAUUCAAAAGUAAUAUUAAAUUAAAAUGUUAAUUUGAUUUAUAAUUUUAAAUAUGC
rnacentral:rRNA from 1 species